rnacentral:rRNA from 1 species
AUACGGAGGAUCCGAGCGUUAUCCGGAUUUAUUGGGUUUAAAGGGUGCGCAGGCGGCCAUUUAAGUCAGCGGUUAAAUCGUGGGGCUCAACCCCAUUCUGCCGUUGAUACUGGGUGGCUUGAUUGCGGUCGAGGUUGGCGGAAUUCGUUGUGUAGCGGUGAAAUGCAUAGAUAUGACGAAGAACACCGAUUGCGAAGGCAGCUUACUAAGCUGUUACUGACGCUGAGGCACGAAAGCGUGGGGAUCAAACAGGAUUAGAUACCCUGGUAGUCCACGCUGUAAACGAUGAUUACUGGUUGUUAGCGAUAUAUAGCUAGUGACUGAGCGAAAGCAUUAAGUAAUCCACCUGGGGAGUACGUCGACAACGAUGAAACUCAAAGGAAUUGGCGGGG